ACCCAUCAUCAAUGAUAACGUUGCUUUUUAUUUUGUGUAAAGAAAACAUCAAACAUAUGCAUACGUUUUUGGGGGUUGUUUGAUGGAUCAUUAUUAGUUUAUACAAAUUUCAAAGUUUAGAAAUUUUAUAAAACUAAUAUUUUAUAUUUUUUUUUUUUUGAAUUGUGAUUAUUGAGUUGUGAUUAUUUAAGAUUUCAAUUGACACUCAUCCAAAUUUUGCAGACAAAACAGGUUAUUAUCAUGAUCCCGCUUCCGGAGUCCAUACAUUUCUGCAAAUCAUGUUUCUAACAGGUUAAGCUCAGGAUCCUUUCUAAAGGAAAUAAGUCUUUUUCCAAUUAGUCUUGCCGCUGAAUCAGUUAAGGGUUAAGCAUUCCAAGUGGAAGGAACAGUGAAGAUGAUGUGCUAAUAUCAGUUGAUUCAAAAAGGGGCUCAAAUAAGCUUGGCAUUCUAAUAGGAACGGUCCAGCAAAGGUUCCACUUCAGGUUCAAUUAAACAGUGCAUGUGUUAACAACCAAGGAUGUAAGAUUGUCAAACCAUGGCAUCGGCGAAAAGCAUGGCGAAAAGCGUAAGAGGUUAAUUCAUUGGUGUCAGAGA